CCUAUCCCAACUAACAAAUUUAAACUUGUAGGGCACGUCAAGUUUAAUAUUUUUGUAAAUACAUUUGUUUAGCAAAUUUGCCUUCUCCUCCUAAUAUUCCUGCUCCUUUCCUUCAAUUGUUGACAGCUCCUUGUCUAGGUUACCGACCAUCGCUCCUCUCUGGAAGAAGAAGUUGGGAAUGCCAGUGUAAAUGCACAUAUAUUUAUGGUCUGAUUGGUAUGUGUGUAGCUAUAUAUGUGUGUGUGUGUGUGUAUAUAUAUAUAUAUAUAUAUAUAUAUAUAUAUAUAUAUAUAUAGAUAUAUAUAUAUUGAUAGCCUGACCACGCUUCUAGAGUGGAGCAGAUGUCGGUAACCUAGGCAAUGAGCUGUCAGCAAGGAAAGAAAAAGGAGCAGGAAUAUUAGGAGAAGGAGGGAUAUUUGCUAAAGGAACGUGUCCUACAAGUUUAACUAUAUUGGUUGAGAUGGGAGUGCCCCUUUAAGGUGACCUUAUACCAGUGCUUUCCAACUGUUGUGUCUCCAGCUGUUGCAAAACUACAACUCCCAGCAUGCCCGGACAGCCGUUGGCUGUCCGGGUAUGCUGGAAGUUGUAGUUUUGCAAUGGCUGGAUGCACACCGGUUGAGAAAACACUGCCUUAUACUAAAGUUAAAUUAUCUUCCGCUGCCUCUCUAAGGUGUAAGGAGAGCUAUUCUGGGAUGGCUGCGGCUUACCCCUCCCUUUUCCAUAGACUACACAUGAACAUUCAUCUAUGUGUAUAGGUAAGGACGGGAGAAAUGGGAGCUGUCGGACAACAGUUCGGCCACCUUUAAUAAGGGAGGCCCCUGAAUGUUAUUAUGGAGAGGACUCAAAAUGCAUCAAGCUGAGUAAGAGCUUAGGCCUCUCUUCUCCAUAGACUACACAUGAACAUUCAUCCAUGUGUACGGAGAAGGACGGGAGAGAUAACUGUCAGCAUACAGUUCGGCCACCUUUAGCAAGUGAGGCCCCUGAAUAAGGAGAGGUCUCAAAAUGCGUAAAGCAGUGUAAGAGCU